AUAAGGGGCUAGAUACCCCAAAGGCACCAAAUCCCACCUGAUCUUAGAAGUUAAGUGUAGUCAAUCCUUAUUAGUCCUUGGUUGAGAGGUCACCAACAAAUACCAGCUGCUGUGUGCU
rnacentral:rRNA from 11 species